rnacentral:rRNA from 1 species
GACGAAGCGCAAGUGACGGUUUGUGCAUAAGAAGGACCGGCCAACUACGUGCCAGCAGCCGCGGUAAUACGUAGGGUUCGAGCGUUGUCCGGAAUUUCUGGGCGUAAAGAGCUCGUAGGUGGUUUGUCGCGUUGUUCGUGAAAACUCACAGCUCAACUGUGGGCGUGCGGGCGAUACGGGCAGACUAGAGUACUGCAGGGGAGACUGGAAUUCCUGGUGUAGCGGUGGAAUGCGCAGAUUUCAGGAGGAACACCGGUGGCGAAGGCGGGUCUCUGGGCAGUAACUGACGCUGAGGAGCGAAAGCGUGGGGAGCGAACAGGAUUAGAUACCCUGGUAGUCCACGCCGUAAACGGUGGGUACUAGGUGUGGGUUUCCUUCCUUGGGAUCCGUGCCGUAGCUAACGCAUUAAGUACCCCGCCUGGGGAGUACGGCCGCAAGGCUAAAACUCAAAGAAAUUGACGGGGGCCCGCACAAGCGGCGGAGCAUGUGGAUUAAUUCGAUGCAACGCGAAGAACCUUACCUGGGUUUGACAUGCACAGGACGUGCCUAGAGAUAGGUAUUCCCUUGUG